rnacentral:rRNA from 1 species
GACGAACGCUGGCGGCGUGCUUAACACAUGCAAGUCGAACGGAAAGGCCCUGCUUUUGUGGGGUGCUCGAGUGGCGAACGGGUGAGUAACACGUGAGUAACCUGCCCUUGACUUUGGGAUAACUUCAGGAAACUGGGGCUAAUACCGGAUAGGAGCUCCUGCUGCAUGGUGGGGGUUGGAAAGUUUCGGCGGUUGGGGAUGGACUCGCGGCUUGUCAGCUUGUUGGUGGGGUAGUGGCUUACCAAGGCUUUGACGGGUAGCCGGCCUGAGAGGGUGACCGGCCAGAUUGGGACUGAGAUACGGCCCAGACUCCUACGGGAGGCAGCAGUGGGGAAUAUUGCACAAUGGGCGGAAGCCUGAUGCAGCAACGCCGCGUGCGGGAUGACGGCCUUCGGGUUGUAAACCGCGUUCGCCUGUGACGAAGCGUGAGUGACGGUAAUGGGUAAAGAAGCACCGGCUAACUACGUG